AGUAAAAGUCGUAACAAGGUUUCCGUAGGUGAACCUGCGGAAGUAUCAUUAAUGAAUUGAAAGGGAGUUGAUGCUGGCUAGGUCUCCUGGCAUGUGCUCGCUCCCGACAAUCUUAUCCAUACACCUGUGCACACUGUGAGGGCGUGAAAGCGCCCUUAUUUUAACAUACACCUUAUAUAGUAAUCGCACGUGAUCUGCGUCUUCUGGCGCUUAAAUGAAAAUACAACUUUUAACAACGGAUCUCUUGGCUCUCGCAUCGAUGAAGAACGCAGCGAAAUGCGAUAAGUAAUGUGAAUUGCAGAAUUCAGUGAAUCAUCGAAUCUUUGAACGCACCUUGCGCUCCUUGGUAUUCCGAGGAGCACGCCUGUUCGAGUGUCGUGAAACUCUCAAGCCUGAUGCUUUAUUGUAUCAGCUUGGUUAUUGGACUCUGCUGUCUCCUUCUCUGGAACGGCUGGUCUCAAAUGAAUUAGCUGGCCCUUGUUGUGGGACUUGGUUCUACUCAGCGUGAUAAUCUAUGACCGCUGAGGACAUCUCUCGGGAUGGCCAGACCUGCCUAGGACUGCUUCUAACUCAUCAUUUUCAUGAUAUUUUUCAACUUUGACCUCGAAUCAGGUGGGACUACCCGCUGAACUUAAGCAUAUCAAUAAGCGGAGGA
rnacentral:rRNA from 1 species